rnacentral:lncRNA from 1 species
UUCGAUUCUAACCGAAAUCCAACUCUUGUAUUUCGAGAAUUUACUUCCUUACAUCCUCCCCACCUUUAAAAGAGUUUCAUCCUCGAAACGAACUCAAUUCUUAAUUAAACUCGAACUUAAUUCAUACCUUACUCACGCCUCAAAAAGAUGAGGGUGCUGCGCUUUCAUUGCUUCCUCAAGUUACCACAUAGCCUCGCGAUCGUUAUGAUUGGUCCACCGAACCUUAACGUAGGAAAUUUCGCGAUUUCUCAACUUCCGCACUUCUCGAGCAAUAAUCAACACCGGAAACUCCUCAUAGCUCAUAUCCUCGCGCAAUUUCGGCAAUUCAUAUGACAACACAUGCUCGGGAUCGUGAAUAUAUUUGCGGAGGUUGGAGAUAUGGAAGACAUUGUGAACAUCGGCGAGCUUCGGCGGCAAUGCGAGCCGAUAAGCCACCGCACCAAUCCGCUCCAACACCUCGUACGACC